rnacentral:tRNA from 1 species
GCGAGAGUGGCGGAACUGGUAGACGCGCUGGACUUAGGAUCCAGUGGAGCAAUCCGUAGGGGUUCGACUCCCCUCUCUCGCACCA